GUGGGGAAUCUUGGACAAUGGGGGCAACCCUGAUCCAGCGACGCCGCGUGGGUGAUGAAGGCCUUCGGGUUGUAAAGCCCUUUUGCCGGGGACGAUGAUGACGGUACCCGGCGAAUAAGCACCGGCUAACUCCGUGCCAGCAGCCGCGGUAAGACGGAGGGUGCUAGCGUUGUGCGGAAUUACUGGACGUAAAGGGCGCGUAGGCGGCCUAGUCAGUCGGAUGUGAAAGCCCGGGGCUCAACCCCGGAACGGCAUCCGAGACGGCCAGGCUGGAGACCGGGAGAGGAGGGUGGAAUAGCCAGUGUAGAGGUGAAAUUCGUAGAUAUUGGCUGGAACACCGGUGGCGAAAGCGGCUCUCUGGCCCGGGUCUGACGCUGAGGCGCGAAAGCGUGGGGAGCAAACAGG
rnacentral:rRNA from 1 species